rnacentral:rRNA from 1 species
CGUGGGUAACCUGCCUUAUAGUGGGGGAGUAGCCUUUCGAAGGAAGAUUAAUACCGCAUAAGAUUGUAGUAUCGCAUGAUAUAGCAAUUAAAGGAGCAAUUCGCUAUAAGAUGGACCCGCGUCGCAUUAGCUAGUUGGUGAGGUAAUGGCUCACCAAGGCGACGAUGCGUAGCCGACCUGAGAGGGUGAUCGGCCACAUUGGGACUGAGACACGGCCCAGACUCCUACGGGAGGCAGCAUG